rnacentral:lncRNA from 1 species
CAAUCAACACCUCAGAAGGCGAGCUAUACACCUACUUCACGAUUGCAGGAAUGAGGGCACCACGAAGAUAGGCACCAGAGGAAGCGUCAUCCGCCCAAAUCCGGUCCCCGAGCGUCAGCCACGACCACCACGGCUCAAGGGGAGUAGUUCCCUCCCCGUCAGGCAAGUCCCCCAUGAAGAGCGCUUGGAAGGGCUCACCCAUUGGCCCGCGCCCGGGUACCACAAAGAUCUCGCAUCGACGCAUAUCUCGUCGAUUCCCCUCAGGGAUCGGCACAGGCUUUGCACCGAGUGCUCCCCCGGCCACGUCACUCGAAGAAGCCCUGUGAGGACGUUUCCCGGCCUCGCCAGACGCCUCCUGUGUUGCGAUCGGCGUAGGUCUCUUGUGGGUCAAGACCUUAGACUUCUUGUGCAGUUGUUCGGGUGCCUGAUAAAAAUUAAAUGAAGAAUAUAGAAAGAUAGAAAUUGUAGAAGAAACUAUGAAAUGUAUAAGAUGUAAUUGUCUAGUUUAUUUUGAUAGUGAGUUCUUG